ensembl:lncRNA
UCCUAACCCAGGGAUCAAACCUGCAUCUCUUGCGUCUCCUACAUCAAAAGUUGAGAGGUCCACUUGUGCCCAGAGUCACGGACUAUCAAUGAAGAAAGUAUGAUGUAACCAAAAUAACUGUGUCUGCAGAGUGCUUUAUAAACUACUAAAAGCUUUAACAUGCAUUACUGCACUUGAACCUCAGCUCAACCACAACCACCCAAAGUGUUCUGUGAGACAGGAAUUAGUACUUCCACUUCACAGAUCCCUGGGAACCUGCUCCUUUCCCCUCUGCCUUUUGAUUGGAUUCGCAAAUGAGGAGAUGCUUCCAAGAGAUGGG